rnacentral:misc_RNA from 1 species
GAUGAAGAACGCAGCGAAAUGCGAUAAGUAGUGUGAAUUGCAGAAUUCAGUGAAUCAUCGAAUCUUUGAACGCACAUUGCGCCCUUUGGUAUUCCAAAGGGCAUGCCUGUUCGAGCGUCAUUUGUACCCUCAAGCUUUGCUUGGUGUUGGGCGUCUUGUCUCUAGCUUUGCUGGAGACUCGCCUUAAAGUAAUUGGCAGCCGGCCUACUGGUUUCGGAGCGCAGCACAAGUCGCACUCUCUAUCAGCAAAGGUCUAGCAUCCAUUAAGCCUUUUUUUUAACUUUUGACCUCGGAUCAGGUAGGGAUACCCGCUGAACUUAAGCAUAUCAAUAAGCGGAGGA